UUGGAGGAGAGGGGCGCAAAUAGCACAGCUGGAGCAGAAGCUGGACUGGUGUCGGAGGUGAGUGAGCAGAGGCUGUGGGAGAGGAUGGCUGCCAUGGAAGCCAAAUUAAACAGCUUCUCCAGCGGGGAGGGAAUUCAGCAGAAAAGACAAAAACAAGUGCACAGUCCCAAAAUUGUGCUGGUCGAGGCAGACAGCCACCUAUCCCGAGUCUGGUUCUGUUGGAGGUUUCCUUUUGUUAAAGGGAAGUUUUUCCUCCCUCAUGCCAAGUGUUUGCUCAAUAGGGGAAUGUUGAUUUUCUUUCUAUAAUGCUGUAAGGUCUUGACCUCAUUGUGUAAAGUGCCAUUACAUGACUUAUGCUAUAAUUUGUCUGUAUUGAAGAAAAAGUAAACAAUUGAACUGACUUUCAUGUCUGUACAUUAAAUAUAAAUAUAGCAAGACAAUUACCUCAGCUUAGACAAAAAGCAUUCCACCAGCACCCCUGUUCACUGUUAAACAUUUUACUCAGUAUAUGCAGUAUACUGUCAGGGCUCCCCUGCUCUCUGUCUGUCCCACCUGGCAACCAAUUACCUUUUCCCUCUCUCUCUCCCUCCCCAUCUCUCUCUCGCCGCUGUGUCUGGAUGGAGGCAGUCUCACGGCUGUCUCCACUCAGUAAUCAGUGGCUUCCCCAGAUCCAGGCAGCAGAGUUAUAAACUGAUUUCCAGACCUGCUAUAAAAGACCGGCUACUUUAUCCACACCCUGCCAGAUCAUAGACUCUGCUUGUGCAUUCGACUCAGCUGCCUGGAUUACCUCCUGCCUCGUUGGAUUCUUCUGUGUGUUCUGUUUGGAUUAUCGGAUCUGAGUCCCUGCCUGCUCUACUGGAUUCCCAGAUCAGUCGACGUCUGGUUUCCCCACACCGACAACCAAGCCAUCGCUCUGCUCCACCACCAAGCCUCUACCUGCUCCAAGCUGUCACACUCUCGUCAUCCCACAGCAGCUGCAUACCAUCGUUCCCCGGCUCCAUCACCCACGCCACCCGCCAACAAUCAUCAGAUUCCCCCUGGACCCAAUUCCCCUCUCCCUCACUCUCCCUUAAAGAAUUCCCCAUUAAAUCUACACAUAAUCUGCCUCCA